rnacentral:rRNA from 1 species
CCUACGGGUGGCAGCAGUGGGGAAUAUUGGACAAUGGGCGAAAGCCUGAUCCAGCCAUGCCGCGUGUGUGAAGAAGGCCUUCGGGUUGUAAAGCACUUUCAGUGGGGAAGAAAGCCUUGGGGCUAAUACCCUCGAGGAAGGACAUCACCCACAGAAGAAGCACCGGCUAACUCCGUGCCAGCAGCCGCGGUAAUACGGAGGGUGCGAGCGUUAAUCGGAAUUACUGGGCGUAAAGCGCGCGUAGGCGGUCUGAUAAGCCGGUUGUGAAAGCCCCGGGCUCAACCUGGGAACGGCAUCCGGAACUGUCAGGCUAGAGUGCAGGAGAGGGAGGUAGAAUUCCCGGUGUAGCGGUGAAAUGCGUAGAGAUCGGGAGGAAUACCAGGGGCGAAGGCGGCCCUCUGGACUGACACUGACGCUGAGGUGCGAAAGCGUGGGUAGCAAACAGGAUUAGAUACCCUUGUAGUC